UACUACAGCGAAGUCUCCGACUAGGCCUC
rnacentral:piRNA from 1 species